rnacentral:piRNA from 1 species
UGUUCUGAGUCUGAAUUCUUUGC